UACGUAAAAGACUAGUGUUACUCAUCUUGAAUAGGUUUAAAGGGUACCUAGACAGCCAAUCAAGCCCCAAAAGGGUACUAAUGGGCUAGAGUUUAAUAUAAGUAGGCUUUAAAGUACUGAGAAUGUUGAGAGAUGAAAUUCUGUGAUACUAUAUACGGCACUGGUAAAGGCGAAAGCAUCUUAUUAUGUAAAAACUGACGUUGAGGUGCGAAAGCAUGGGGAUCAAAGGGG
rnacentral:rRNA from 1 species